AGUGAGCGCUGGCGGUAGGCCUAACACAUGCAAGUCGAACGGCAGCACAGUAAGAGCUUGCUCUUACGGGUGGCGAGUGGCGGACGGGUGAGGAAUACAUCGGAAUCUACUUUUUCGUGGGGGAUAACGUAGGGAAACUUACGCUAAUACCGCAUACGACCUACGGGUGAAAGCAGGGGAUCUUCGGACCUUGCGCGAUUGAAUGAGCCGAUGUCGGAUUAGCUAGUUGGCGGGGUAAAGGCCCACCAAGGCGACGAUCCGUAGCUGGUCUGAGAGGAUGAUCAGCCACACUGGAACUGAGACACGGUCCAGACUCCUACGGGAGGCAGCAGUGGGGAAUAUUGGACAAUGGGCGCAAGCCUGAUCCAGCCAUACCGCGUGGGUGAAGAAGGCCUUCGGGUUGUAAAGCCCUUUUGUUGGGAAAGAAAAGCAGCAGGUUAAUACCCCGCUGUUCUGACGGUACCCAAAGAAUAGGCACCGGCUAACUUCGUG
rnacentral:rRNA from 1 species